UACGGGGGGGGCAAGCGUUGUUCGGAAUUACUGGGCGUAAAGGGCUCGUAGGCGGCCAACUAAGUCCGACGUGAAAUCCCCGGGCUUAACCUGGGAACUGCGUUUCUAACUGGCAGGCUUGAGUGUGGCAGAGGGGGGUGGAAUUCCACGUGUAGCAGUGAAAUGCGUAGAGAUGUGGAGGAACACCGAUGGCGAAGGCAGCCCCCUGGGCUAACACUGACGCUCAUGCACGAAAGCGUGGGGAGCAAACAGG
rnacentral:rRNA from 1 species